rnacentral:rRNA from 1 species
CAGUAGCCGCGGGAACACGAAGGGUGCAAGCGUUAAUCGGAAUUACUGGGCGUAAAACGUGCGUAGGCGGUGAGUUAAGUCUGCUGUGAAAUCCCCGGGCUCAACCUGGGAAUGGCAGUGGAUACUGGCUCGCUAGAGUGUGUCAGAGGAUGGUGGAAUUCCCGGUGUAGCGGUGAAAUGCGUAGAGAUCGGGAGGAACAUCAGUGGCGAAGGCGGCCAUCUGGGCCAACACUGACGCUCAUGCACGAAAGCGUGGGGAGCAAACAGGAUUAGAUACCCCGGUAGUCCCUGUCUCUUAUAC